AACGAACGCUGGCGGCGUGCUUAACACAUGCAAGUCGAACGGAAAGGCACUGCUUUUGUGGGGUGCUCGAGUGGCGAACGGGUGCGUAACACGUGAGUAACCUGCCCUUGACUUUGGGAUAACUUCAGGAAAGUGGGGCUAAUACAAGAUAGGAGCUCCUGCUGCAUAGUGGGGGUUGGAAAGUUUCGGCGGUUGGGGAUGGACUAGCGGCUUAUCAGCUGGGUGGUGGGGUAGUGGCAUACCAAGGCUUUGGAGGGUAGCCGGCCUGGGAGGGUGGACGGCGACAUGGCGACUGAGAGAGGGCCCAGAGGCCAACGGGAGCCAGCGGGGGGGAAUAUGGCCCAGUGAGCGGAAGUCUGUGGCAGCAGCCCCGCGGGCGGGAUGACGGCCUGCUGGUAGUAAACCGCUGUCGCCUGUGACGAAGCGUGAGUGACGGUAAUGGGUAAAGAAGCACCGGCUAACUACGUG
rnacentral:rRNA from 1 species